rnacentral:rRNA from 1 species
ACGGAAGGCAGCAGUGGGGAAUAUUGCACAAUGGGGGAAACCCUGAUGCAGCAACGCCGCGUGAGCGAUGAAGGUCUUCGGAUCGUAAAGCUCUGUCCUUAGGGAAGAAGGAAGUGACGGUACCUAAGGAGGAAGCCCCGGCUAACUACGUGCCAGCAGCCGCGGUAAUACGUAGGGGGCGAGCGUUAUCCGGAAUUAUUGGGCGUAAAGAGUACGUAGGUGGUUUUGUAGGCGUAGGGUGAAAGCCUGGGGCUUAACUCCAGCGAGCCUUACGAACCGCAAGACUUGAGUGCAGGAGGGGAAAGUGGAAUUCCUAGUGUAGCGGUGAAAUGCGUAGAUAUUAGGAGGAACACCGGUGGCGAAGGCGACUUUCUGGACUGUAACUGACACUGAGGUACGAAAGCGUGGGGAGCAAACAGGAUUAGAUACCCUGGUA